UGAAAACAGCAAAUGUUGACUUAGUGAC
rnacentral:piRNA from 1 species